CUCUCUCUCGUGGGAAAAGAAAGCAAAAGGAGGGGAGGAGAGAGAUUUUCUAUCAAAUUCUCAGAUCUCUCUCUGUACGAGUUCAGGACCUUUAAUCGCUUUAUCAAAUAACCAAAAUGGGACGGAAAUCGUUGAUCUACUCAUUUUCCUGUGGAAAUGUGAUUCUUGCUGAGUACACAGAAUUCAGUGGCAAUUUCAAUUCCAUAGCGUUUCAGUGCCUCCAGAGGCUCCCUGCCACCAACAAUAAGUUCACUUACAGCUGCGAUGCCCACAACUUCAAUUACCUCGUGGACAAUGGCUCAUUUAUCUCUUUCUCUGGUCAUCUCUCGUUCUCGGUCCCUUAGCCAUGGGACGUGGUAGAAAGCGGCAGCUACCGGAGUUAACCCUCGAUAUCGACGGAACUGCCAGAAAGCGAGGCACUGCCAGAAACCGACGGCAAUUCCCCGGAGUGUUGUGGAUCCAAGGCGGAACAUGGAGGCGGCGAUGUUUUGCCACAGGGAAACAAGCAAUUUAUGGAAAAUAAGAACACUACAGUGUAAUCAAGAACACUACCGUUGGACCUGUUGAACAGUUGGAAACAAGCUCGCCGCUCUUGGUUAGUUACCUUGGUGCUUUUAUUAUUUGGAAUUCUGAGAUUAAGGUGUUUGGUGAUUUUAUUAUUUGUAAUGCUGAGAUUGAGGUGUUUGGUGCUUUUACUAUAAAUUUUAAAUAAGACUACGAAAUUGUGAUUUGGAGACUUUAGAUCUCUUUACAAUGAGUUUACUGUAAAUUUUUUUUAUGGUUUUAAGGUGUUUGGUGCUUUUAUUAUCUGGAAUUUUGAGAUUAAGGUAAAGAGGAGUGUGAGGUAAAGAGGUGUUUGAAAUAGAAACUCCGGCUAUAGUAGCAACUAUGAGUUGUGAGUACAAAUCUCCCAUUGAAAGCCAGGACAUCACAAGCUAUUUAAUAGUUGAGAUAUGCUUGCAAGGAUGUCGCCGAUAGAGAGUUGCAAACACUCAAUCUCUUGCUCAUUAAAGUUUUUGUUCCUCGAUUCUGAAAUUUCGGCUUUGAGGAUUGAGUUGCAGCUCCAUUCCACAGCGAAGGAUAGUAGGUAGAGUGAGAGAAUGAAUAAGGAUUGCUUUCAUGCAUUCAUAAAAUGGAAAAAAAUUCAGCAAAAGUUGAUAUGAUUCUUGAUGAAAUUGAGAAAUACAAGGCAGCUGCAGGGACCUUUGGUUUUCCUUCAGCUAUUAGAGGAAGAACAACCAAAUCUCCAG